ACGGGGCGUGGCCUCGGCAGAAGGGGCGGGGCGGCACGGGGCAGGGACGCCUUGCGCCCCUAGCGGCGGGUGCGUUUCAGCCCUCACUUUGUGGCCUGUGGAUUCUCCCCGUCCGAGGUUGUGGCGGCGCGGGGCAGUGUCACAGGUAAAUCGGGGUAGAACUGAAACGUGAAGCCUGGGGAGCCGAAGCCUGCAGGGCCUGGGGCAACGGGGAAGCAGGGCCCAACCCCCGGCCCGAGGAAGGACUGGCCCGCCCCACGCGUGCCCCUCCUGCGGGCUCUAGUCAGUUCUGCCCCACUGUUCCCGCAGGGGAUGUUGCUCCGUCCACAGGGGUCCAUCAGCCCCGGACCUGUCCUGGACUCCCACAUCCCUCCCCUGCUUCUGCCAGCUGCUGACCUCACUCCUUUCUCUGUCCUCAAGUCCCCCGACAUGCAGCUCUGUCCGCGCCGCGAGCUGCACACUCUGGAAGCGACCGGCUGGAGACAGUUGCCCAAAUCAAAGUUCUCCCCCACAAGACGAAGCCACCUGGGGCCACUGUGGGGUAGGAGCCCUGACGACCCUGGAAGUAGCUGGCCAUGUGCUAGGAGGUGAGCGGGGCUACGGAGGCCCCAAACUGGUGCAGUCCGUGACCCUGGGACUUAUUUACUUGACCUUCACAGUGUCUAACAAUUUUAAACUUAACUUACACCAUCUGAAAGUCAGCUGGUUUUGUGUUACAGUUCAGUGGGUGGCUUGCUUCAAAACUUGGGGCGAUCUGGUGACAGUGGGCCUGUGCUCCCACAUAUCAGCAAUCUGCCGCAGCUAAGCAGUGGCUGCCUUCUUUGCCAGGCUCCACAGCUUGCUGCUCCGGCCUGCAGAACCAGCUCCCGUACCGUUCAGCACGGGGCUGGAGCCGUUGUUCCUUACAGUAGAUAAAGGUCAGCUCUCUCUUUACACCUGUGUCUCUGUCAAAAGUGGGGAAACGAAAGAUGGAUCCAGAGCGUCACACGUUUCAAGAAAAAUGGGAGCAAGCAUAUUUCUUUGUGGAAGUAAAGAAUCGCCCUGUGUGUUUAACAUGUAACCAAACUUUGUGUCAGAAGAAUACAACCUAUGGCGACAAACCACAAAGGAAUUUUGACUGGUAAACAGAAAAAAUGGGUGAUGAAAAGCUUAAUGAGCUAAAAAAAGGUCUAAACUUCCUGCACCAUUUAUCAUAGAAUGCGAAUGUGAAAUGCGGUUAUGUAAUGAGUGGAAAAAUUGCCCGGGCAUCACCACCCUGUACAGAUGGGGAGUUUAUAAAAGACUGGGGAGUGCAGCAGAAACCGUGUGUCCUGAGCAGAAACAAGCAUUUGCAAACACAAGUCUGACUGGAAACACUGUUGCUCAACAGGUAAAAGAUAUGGCUGAAAACUUACAGGAGAACGUUCGAGAAAAAGUGAAGUCCUUCGUCACCUUUUCUAUUGCAGCUGGUGAGAGCACAUACGUAAACAGCAUGAGCCACUUGAGUGUAUUUUUCCGUGGUGUUGAUGGGAAUUUUGACGUCACUGAAGAGCUUUUGGACAUGGUACCCAUGACAAACCCAACGUCAGAAAGUGACUUAGGUUUGCAGUUGAGAAGAGUUUAACAGGGACUGGUCAAAAUUAGUAAGUGUGACCACAGAAGGUGCCCCUGCAGUGGUCUGUGAUGAUGCUGGACUUGUUGCAAAACUUAAA